rnacentral:rRNA from 2 species
AACGUAGGAGACGAGCGUUAUCCGGAUUUACUGGGCGUAAAGAGCGUGUAGGAGGCAAUACAAGUUGGAUGUAAAAGCUCUCGGCUAAACUGAGAGAGGACGUUCAAGACUGUAGAGCUAGAGGAAGGCAGAGGUAGAUGGAACUCCGGGAGUAGUGGUGAAAUGCGUAGAUAUCCGGAAGAACACCAGAGGCGAAAGCGAUCUACUGGGCCUUAACAGACACUGAGACGCGAAAGCCAGGGUAGCAAACGGG